rnacentral:rRNA from 1 species
UACGUAGGGGGCGAGCGUUGUCCGGAUUUAUUGGGCGUAAAGAGCUCGUAGGCGGUUUGGCAAGUCGGGUGUGAAAACUCCGGGCUCAACUCGGAGACGCCACUCGAUACUGCCAUGACUUGAGUCCGGUAGGGGAGUGCGGAAUUCCUGGUGUAGCGGUGAAAUGCGCAGAUAUCAGGAGGAACACCGGUGGCGAAGGCGGCACUCUGGGCCGGUACUGACGCUGAGGAGCGAAAGCGUGGGGAGCGAACGGG